rnacentral:rRNA from 1 species
CCUACGGGUGGCAGCAGUGAGGAAUAUUGGUCAAUGGACGAGAGUCUGAACCAGCCAAGUAGCGUGAAGGAUGACUGCCCUAUGGGUUGUAAACUUCUUUUAUAAAGGAAUAAAACGAGGCACGUGUGCCUUUUUGCAUGUACUUUAUGAAUAAGGAUCGGCUAACUCCGUGCCAGCAGCCGCGGUAAUACGGAGGAUCCGAGCGUUAUCCGGAUUUAUUGGGUUUAAAGGGAGCGUAGAUGGGUUGUUAAGUCAGUUGUGAAAGUUUGCGGCUCAACCGUAAAAUUGCAAUUGAUACUGGCAGUCUAGAGUACAGUUGAGGUAGGCGGAAUUCGUGGUGUAGCGGUGAAAUGCUUAGAGAUCACGAAGAACCCCGAUUGCGAAGGCAGCUUACUAAACUGUGACUGACAUUGAUGCACGAAAGUGUGGGUAUCAAACAGGAUUAGAUACCCGAGUAGUC